rnacentral:rRNA from 1 species
CCCUACGGGACGCAGCAGUGGGGGAUAUUGCACAAUGGGGGGAACCCUGAUGCAGCGACGCCGCGUGGGUGAAGAAGCGCCUCGGCGCGUAAAGCCCUGUCAGCAGGGAAGAAAAUGACAGUACCUGAAGAAGAAGCCCCGGCUAACUACGUGCCCGCAGCCGCGGUAAUACGUAGGGGGCAAGCGUUAUCCGGAUUUACUGGGUGUAAAGGGGGCGCAGACGGCGAUGCAAGCCAGGAGUGAAAGCCCGAGGCCCAACCCCGGGACUGCUCUUGGAACUGCGUGGCUGGAGUGCAGGCGGGGCG